rnacentral:tRNA from 3 species
GGAAGAGCGUCCCAUCCGGUGAUGGGGCCGGACUUCAAAUCCGGUAGGGGCCGCGAGACGGUCCUUGGUGGGUUCGACUCCCACUCUCUUCCGCCA